rnacentral:rRNA from 1 species
GAUGAACGCUAGCGGCAGGCUUAAUACAUGCAGGUCGUGGGGCAGCAUGAGUGUAGCAAUACAUUUGAUGGCGACCGGCAAACGGGUGCGGAACACGUACACAACCUUCCUUUAAGUGGGGAAUAGCCCAGAGAAAUUUGGAUUAAUACCCCGUAACUUAUAGAAGUGCCAUCACUUUUAUAUUAUAGCAGCAAUGCGAUUGAAGAUGGGUGUGCGGCUGAUUAGAUAGUUGGCGGGGUAACGGCCCACCAAGUCGACGAUCAGUAACUGGUGGGAGGUCAGGACCAGUCAGCAGGGGACUGGGACACGGGCCCGACUCCUACGGUCGGCAGCAGUAAGGAAUAUUGGUCCAUGGACGCAAGUCUGAACCAGCCAUGCCGCGUGGAGGAUGAAGGUCCUCUGGAUUGUAAACUUCUUGUAGCUGGGAAGAAAUCUACCUUUUCUUGGGUAGUUGACGGUACCAGAUGAAUAAGCACCGGCUAACUCCGUGCCAGCCGCCGCCGUAACAC